UACGUAGGGUGCGAGCGUUAAUCGGAAUUACUGGGCGUAAAGCGUGCGCAGGCGGUUUUGUAAGACAGGCGUGAAAUCCCCGGGCUCAACCUGGGAACUGCGCUUGUGACUGCAAGGCUAGAGUACGGCAGAGGGGGGUGGAAUUCCACGUGUAGCAGUGAAAUGCGUAGAGAUGUGGAGGAACACCGAAUGGCGAAGGCAGCCCCCCUGGGUCCGAUACUGACGCUCAUGC
rnacentral:rRNA from 1 species